rnacentral:rRNA from 1 species
GAUAAACGCUGGCGGUGUACAUAAGACAUGCAAGUCGAACGGGAGAAACUGAGAUGGAUUUAUUCGACUUAGCAGACACCGUGGCGGAUGGGUGAGUAACACGUAAGCAACCUGCCUAAAAGAGGGGAAUAACAGAGAGAAAUUUCUGAUAAUACCGCAUAUACCAAAGUAUCGCAUGGUACAAUUGGGAAAGAUUUAUCACUUUUAGAUGGGCUUGCGUCUGAUUAGCUAGUUGGUGAGAUAAUAGCUCACCAAGGCGACGAUCAGUAGCCGGAUUGAGAGGUUGAACGGCCACAUUGGGACUGAGACACGGCCCAGACUCCUACGGGAGGCAGCAGUCGGGAAUAUUGCACAAUGGAGGAAACUCUGAUGCAGUGACACCGCGUAUAGGAAGAAGGCCUUAGGGUUGUAAGCUAUUGUCGUGUGAGAAGAAAAUGACUAUCACAGGAGGAAGCCCUGGCUAAAUAUGUGCCAGCAGCCGCGGUAAUACAUAUGGGGCGAGCGUUAUCCGGAUUUAUUGGGUGUAAAGGGUUCGUAGGCGGGAAAGUAAGUCAGUAUGUGAAAUCCCUCGGCUCAACCGAGGAACUGCGAUUGAAACUAUUUUUCUUGAGUACUGGAGGGGAAAGUGGAAUUCUUAGUGUAGCGGUGAAAUGCGUAGAUAUUAGGAAGAACACCAGUGGCGAAGGCGACUUUCUGGACAGUAACUGACGCUGAGGAACGAAAGUGUGGGGAGCAAACAGGAUUAGAUACCCUGGUAGUCCACACUGUAAACGAUGGAUACUAGGGGUUGGCAUAGGAAAUGUCGGUCCCGCAGUUAACGCAUUAAGUAUCCCACCUGGGGAGUACGACCGCAAGGUUAAAACUCAAAGGAAUUGACGGGGGCCCGCACAAGCAGUGGGGUAUGUGGUUUAAUUCGACGCAACGCGAAGAACCUUACCAGGGCUUGACAUGAUUAGGAAUAUAUAAGAGAUUAUAUAGCUCUACGGAGUCUAAUUACAGGUGGUGCAUGGUUGUCGUCAGCUCGUGUCGUGAGAUGUUGGGUUAAGUCCCUAAACGAGCGCAACCCUUAUCACUAGUUGCUAACAUUAAGUUGAGGACUCUAGUGAGACUGCCGUUUAUUAAAACGGAGGAAGGAGAGGAUGACGUCAAAUCAUCAUGCCCUUUAUGUCCUGGGCUACACACGUACUACAAUGGGUAGGACAAAGGGAAGCAACGGAGUGAUCCUGAGCAAAACCCAAAACCUAUUCACAGUUCGGAUUGAAGGCUGAAAUUCGCCUUCAUGAAGCCGGAAUUGCUAGUAAUGGCAGGUCAGCAUACUGCCGUGAAUACGUUCCCGGGCCU